AUUGAACGCUGGCGGCAUGCCUAACACAUGCAAGUCGAACGGCAGCACGGCAGUAGCAAUACUGUGGGUGGCGAGUGGCGGACGGGUGAGGAAUACGUCGGAAUCUGCCCAGUCGCGGGGGAUAACUAGCCGAAAGGUUAGCUAAUACCGCAUACGACCGAGAGGUGAAAGCGGGGGACCGCAAGGCCUCGCGCGAUUGGAUGAGCCGACGUCGGAUUAGCUAGUUGGUGGGGUAAAGGCCCACCAAGGCGACGAUCCGUAGCUGGUCUGAGAGGAUGAUCAGCCACACUGGAACUGAGACACGGUCCAGACUCCUACGGGAGGCAGCAGUGGGGAAUAUUGGACAAUGGGCGCAAGCCUGAUCCAGCAAUGCCGCGUGUGUGAAGAAGGCCUCGGUGUAAGNACUUUAUCUAGACGAAAGACG
rnacentral:rRNA from 1 species